AGUUUGAUCCUGGCUCAGAUUGAACGCUGGCGGCAGGCCUAACACAUGCAAGUCGAGCGGGGUUUUCGGACCUAGCGGCGGACGGGUGAGUAAUGCGUAGGAAGCUGCCCGAUAGAGGGGGAUACCAGUUGGAAACGACUGUUAAUACCGCAUAAUGUCUACGGACCAAAGUGUGGGACCUUCGGGCCACAUGCUAUCGGAUGCGCCUACGUGGGAUUAGCUAGUUGGUGAGGUAAUGGCUCACCAAGGCGACGAUCUCUAGCUGGUUUGAGAGGAUGAUCAGCCACACUGGAACUGAGACACGGUCCAGACUCCUACGGGAGGCAGCAGUGGGGAAUAUUGGACAAUGGGCGCAAGCCUGAUCCAGCCAUGCCGCGUGUGUGAAGAAGGCCCUCGGGUUGUAAAGCACUUUCAGCGAGGAGGAAGGGGUAGUAGUUAAUAGCUGCUACUUUUGACGUUACUCGCAGAAGAAGCACCGGCUAACUCUGUGCCAGCAGCCGCGGUAAUACAGAGGGUGCAAGCGUUAAUCGGAAUUACUGGGCGUAAAGCGCACGUAGGCGGUUUUUUAAGUCAGAUGUGAAAGCCCCGGGCUCAACCUGGGAAUUGCAUUUGAAACUGGAAAACUAGAG
rnacentral:rRNA from 1 species